UAUAUAUAUAUAUAUAUAUAUAUAUAUAUAUCCCCUUAAUGACCGUGGACGUACUAGGUACGUCUGACAAAAAACAGUUGUUAAGGACCACGGAUGUACCUAGUAUGUCCACAGCAAAUAGGAGCACUGGACUUACCUGGACUGGCCACCCCGGUCCAUGUGAUCGCCGCAAUAGGACUCUAGGAGAUGCCAGCAUGGGGACUGUCUGAGCUGUCAGGCAGUCCCCCAGUCUGCUAAAAAGUAAAAAAUAAAAUAAAAUAAAAAAUGUAUUUAUACACCAGAGCAGGGAAUCUCUCAAAUCUAUGUUCGGACAUCCAGCGUCACCCAAAACCCUAUAGGAAAGCAUUAUAUAAUGCUUUCCUAUGGGGGAAGUCCUAAUGCGAGCAUGGCAGAGCAGCGGAGGCAGAGCCCAAACCAGCACUGAGGGACAUCGGCGCUUGAAUAUGACAAGUGACAGAGGGGGUUUUUAUCCCCUUCUGCACAAUGAGGGGAGAGGGGGCCUGUGGACGUUGUUUUCCUGGCACUAUAGUUUUUCCUUUAACUUGCAUUUUAAUACAUUUCUUUUAUCCACAUGUGCACUGCUGUAUGGAUUUCAAACUGAUUGCAAAGGAUAUCACACUAGAAGUAGAGGAUGCUGGGGAUUUGCUGUAAUGAAGGAUAUGAAAAACAAUUUAUGUUGCAUUUUUUUAUGCACUAUCUAUAUAAAACUUAGAGAUUUGAGGUAAUCCACCCAGGAGUGUGUCUUUUAAUAUUCCAGCUUCCUGCUGGACAACUCAACAAACUCAGUACUCCUUCCUUAAUAAAACUUGGUAAAUAUUUUAAAGCAAAGCCAGCAUUGUCUGAUUGUCAUUCGAAAAAAAAUUAAAAUUCUUACACUGCCACAAUGAGCAAGAAUAAUUGUAAUAUACAAGGUGUCUACAUAAAGCUAAAGCAAAAUGUAAAGAAUGUAUGAAAGGGUUUGAACCAAAUUAAUAGAUUUAUUUUCAAAUAUUACAUUUAGGAAUCUACCACAUGCAUAUAAUGAAUUUUGCAUGAACAUGGUAAGUCCUGUCAAAAUGAUCAUGAUAAAACAAAGUUUAACUGUGAUUAAGAAAGGAACAAAUAGAACAGUGAUUCAAUAUGUACUUGUGUCCAAGACUUUCUUUAGGUUCAUCAAAACAAUUAGAAUACACAUUCAAGUUAAAAAUAAACGUAUAAGCACAUUAUAUCUGAAUGGCAAAAAAUUGUUAUUGAUAGCCAAACUGUGAAUAGAAUGGAGUUGGGUAAUAUUAACAAAAACAGACAUUUUGAAAUUCUGAUUUAGGCCCCAAUUUAAUAUUUUUAGAUACAAUUUUCAAAUAUUUUAAGAUAAACAUUUAAAAUGGUUUUAUAUUUUGAAAACUAUUGUAAUAUUUUAAAAUAUU